rnacentral:rRNA from 1 species
UGGGGAAUUUUGGACAAUGGGCGAAAGCCUGAUCCAGCAAUGCCGCGUGUGUGAAGAAGGCCUUCGGGUUGUAAAGCACUUUUGUCCGGAAAGAAAUCCUUGGCUCUAAUACAGUCGGGGGAUGACGGUACCGGAAGAAUAAGCACCGGCUAACUACGUGCCAGCAGCCGCGGUAAUACGUAGGGUGCAAGCGUUAAUCGGAAUUACUGGGCGUAAAGCGUGCGCAGGCGGUUUGCUAAGACCGAUGUGAAAUCCCCGGGCUCAACCUGGGAACUGCAUUGGUGACUGGCAGGCUAGAGUAUGGCAGAGGGGGGUAGAAUUCCACGUGUAGCAGUGAAAUGCGUAGAGAUGUGGAGGAAUACCGAUGGCGAAGGCAGCCCCCUGGGCCAAUACUGACGCUCAUGCACGAAAGCGUGGGGAGCAAACAGGAUUAGAUACCCUGGUAGUCCACGCCCUAAACGAUGUCAGCUAGUUGUUGGGGAUUCAUUUCCUAGUAACGUAGCUAACGCGUGAAGUUGACCGCCUGGGGAGUACGGUCGCAAGAUUAAAACUCAAAUGAAUUGACGGGGUCAUAGCUGUUUCCU